UGGAUCAAGAGUUAUAUCUGGAUCAUGAGGUGAUUUCAUCUCUUGAACAUAAUCUGCAAUCUCUCCAAUCAUUUGAUCAGUUUUCUCUCUUCUUGCUACAACAUCAGCCUCUUUUUGCAUUAGAAUUUUUUUAGCCUCCCAUUCUUGAUCAUAUUUCAUGUUCAUCUCCUCCAUCCGCCUCACCAACUCUUCUAAAGUUGGUUCUUCCUUUUGAAUUGCAAUUUUUUUAGCCGCCCAUUCUUGAUCAUAUUUCAUGUUGACCUCCUUUAUUUGCCUUGGUUCUUCCUUUUGAAUUGCAAAUUUUUCAGCCGUCCAUUCUUGAAAUUUUGUGUUACUCUCCAUCAUUUUCCUCAUCAACUCCUCUAAAGUUGGUUCUUCAAGAUUACGAGGAGUAUUAUCAGUUUGCACAAAUGGUUGAAAAGAUGUUUGACUUUCAUCAAAAUAGUUUUGCUGAUAAUAUGAUUGUUGUUGAGG
rnacentral:lncRNA from 1 species